rnacentral:piRNA from 1 species
UGACGAGACUCGCGUGGGAAGAAGAAGAA